UUUCUGGACCCAUUCUUCCAGGGAAUCUCUUGUUCUAGGUCUUCUUUGACGGCUUUCUCAAAAGUCUCCAUGAAGCACCCUUUCUUGUGUGCUGGGUAGAAGAUGGACUUAGGUUUAAAGAUGCUACGCUCUCCCUCUUCUUGUGCUGGUUGUUCUUCAAAGAAUUUCUUGAGGGUAGUAUUGAUCAAACCUGCCCGGUAGAGAAACACGUGAAAGGAGUCGAGCAUAAAAGUCAAUAAUGUACAGCACCUGGUAUUCCAAGGUGGUCUCCCAUCCAAGUACUGACCAGGCCUAACACUGCUUAGCUUCCAAGAUCGGGCGGGCAUUGGUCAUUCCCAGUGUGGUAUCGCUGUAUAAAAUUCAAGACAUAUGCUGACUGUACAUAGGUCAAGUACUGUGUACCUCUUGAGGUCACUGAUAGAACCGAACCUGGCACUCGGCGAUGCUCAUCCUGAAUAGUCCACAUAAUAAAACAACUGUCGCAAACUUAAGUGCAGAUACAUGAACCUAGGCACUCAGCGAUGCCCUUAUAACGGAAUCAAUGCCAAACAGAAAAAAUAGCACAUGGCGGUGCACAAGUCACAUUGUUCUUAUCAACCAUUUGUCUAUAGGCAGCAUCCGAGACUGAAAUCCUCAUUGAGGCCCUUUGGGGACAAACGUUUGAGUCUAUGUAUCCAUUGCAGCUCUCUUUGUAUCAAGAUUUUGUUCCUGUCUCCUCCCCUUUGAAGUGGAGGGAUAUGGUCUAUGACAGAGGUGGCCAAAAUGUUGAUCGCGAUCUACCGGUUGAUCGCGAUCUAAGUGUGACUUGCCGCCUCUGCUCGGAGCGUUCCCAAUGAUGCAUUGUGCGGGUGACGUCAGCCGCGCACCCGCGCAAUGCACGAUUGGGAAUGCGAUGUGAGGAGCCUGUGCGCCUGCUGGAUCUGGUUUGAUCCAGCCAGCGCCGGAGGGAAGCAGGAGCAGGCUCGGGAGCAGAAUCCAGCCAGUGGGGAGACAGCCAGCUAAAAAAUGACAAUUGGAGCAUCCAGUGCAUCGGAAGACACCAGCCUUCUUUGAUAGUGGCAUUGUUUACAUUUCUAACCCCGCCCACCUGUCAGGAGUGAUCACCAAUGGAAGCGCUUUCUGAGCUCUCUGGCACUGACCAUGAGUGCACAUGGUUUUGCCCAAUUGCUAACAGAAUUCCUGCUGCAAUCAACUUGGAAUUACCCCCCUAGUGAGGAGUUGUAUUAGCCCCUGAGGAAAACCACAAGUGUGUGGUUGAAACGGCUGUCGGCCCGCUGUUUGUAUCACUUUACUGCUGAUGGACUGACUAAAUCUUUCCCUGCAAAAACGUGAGUGCUGAUCCUGCAUCUUUUCAAAUUACAUGUGGAAAGUGAGUGUUAAUGU